UCAACGAAGUGCGCUUGCGCCCCACCAAAGUUUUAAACCACUGACGCCGAAAUGGCGGAUCAGCAGCCAAGCGCUCACACCUCGUCUCAGGAAACUUCUGUUGGGGAGGAUUCAAUGUCUGUUGAGGCACAUGUGAAUGUGCUACAAAGUGAAACACAUCCAGACACAUGGACUGUCAAAGACCACAUGACAGGAACAUUCUCCUGGAGACGCUGAGAAAGCACGGAAGGAAUGUCUGAGGAGGAUGUACUCAAAAAAUACACAUACUUCAGGACACCUACUGGAGGGGACCCGUCUACACCUUUCCUACCAUACACCUGAUGGAUACUGACUGUAAAAUGGCAAUCACAGGAGGAGGGCUCAGUGUGGUGACAGAGACUUGUUAUAGCUCUUAUAUGUCAUUGCUCUUUUUGUUUUUUGAUUGCUUCAACUCUGUCCUCAUUUGUAAGUCGAUUUGAACAAAAGCAUCUACUAAAUGAAUAAAUGUAAAUAUUAGUAUAACCUGUGGUAUAGAUGAGUGCCAGUCAACUUAUUGCUUAUUCAAAUCUUUUAGAAACCAUGCACAGGAAGCAUAUGUACUUUUGUUACUCAGUGAAUAGUCAGUAGUACAGUUGUAUUAUAAUAUAAUGGAGAAGGGUCUGGUUGCAGACUCACUCUCAGACACUUGCGCUUCUAUUUUUUAUUGGAUAUUUUAUUCUACUUAUUG